AAAUGAACUGAAGUAAAUGAAAUGAAGUAAAAAAACAAAGUGUGUUAACGCCUUUUCCAGCUGGAUUAUAAAUCCAAAUAAAAAGAUAACCUGACAAAACUUUUCUGUUGCUGUUUCUGGCAAAACAUACCCCUUCUCAGAUUCUAAAAGUUUCGAAGAAUGAAAGUGCUAUUAAAAGGAAUUUUUUUCUGUUCUUUUAUUUUACCUCAUUCUUGUGCUAUGGUAAAAUGAAAUAAUUUUUUAAAUUUUUUCCCGAGAGCCAUUUCACUCAGGACGACUAAUGAUGCUGUGACACCUGCUGUGACCAAAAGACCUUCACUGGAAUGAGGAAUCAUCUUGAAGUCUAAAGAGCUGGACUCCGAUGUAGAAGCAAAAGCUGGGAGCUGCCUGAUUCUUAAUGCGUCAGGAAAACUAAGUGCAUUUCUGGCAAAACUGAGAAGAAGGCCUUCCUAUACCACCAGCAUAUUAAGAGAUGUAGAAACUACCAUCAGCCUGCAUGCAGCAAGAUGA
rnacentral:lncRNA from 1 species